UUGGACGGCCAUAGGGGCGGGGUUCAUCUGUUCCCAUUUCGAACACAGAAAUUAAGACCGCUUCCGUACUUGGGUGUACUGCAUUCCGUGGGAAACCAGGUAAGCUGUCCACC
rnacentral:rRNA from 1 species